AGUGAACGCUGGCGGUAGGCCUAACACAUGCAAGUCGAACGGCAGCACAGUAAGAGCUUGCUCUUACGGGUGGCGAGAGGCGGACGGGUGAGGAAUACAUCGGAACCUACUUUUUCGUGGGGGAUAACGUAGGGAAACUUACGCUAAUACCGCAUACGCCCUACGGGUGAAAGCAGGGGAUCUUCGGACCUUGCGCGAUUGAAUGAGCCGAUGUCGGAUUAGCUAGUUGGCGGGGUAAAGGCCCACCAAGGCGACGAUACGUAGCUGGCCUGAGAGGAUGAGCAGCCACACUGGAACUGAGACACGGUCCAGACUCCUACGGGUGGCAGCAGUGGGGAAUAUUGGACAAUGGGCGCAAGCCUGAUCCAGCCAUACCGCGUGGGUGAAGAAGGCCUUCGGGUUGUAAAGCCCUUUUGUUGGGAAAGAAAAGCAGCAGGUUAAUACCCCGCUGUUCUGACGGUACCCAAAGAAUAAGCACCGGCUAACUUCGUG
rnacentral:rRNA from 1 species